rnacentral:rRNA from 1 species
AGGGUUUGAUUCUGGCUCAGGAUGAACGCUGGCGGCGUGCUUAACACAUGCAAGUCGAACGGAACGCCAAGGAAAGAGUUUUCGGACAAUGGAAUUGGCUGUUUAGUGGCGGACGGGUGAGUAACGCGUGAGUAACCUGCCUUGGAGUGGGGAAUAACACAGUGAAAACUGUGCUAAUACCGCAUGACAUAUUGGUGUCGCAUGGCACUGAUAUCAAAGAUUUAUCGCUCUGAGAUGGACUCGCGUCUGAUUAGAUAGUUGGCGGGGUAACGGCCCACCAAGUCGACGAUCAGUAGCCGGACUGAGAGGUUGGCCGGCCACAUUGGGACUGAGACACGGCCCAG